rnacentral:tRNA from 1 species
GCAUUGGUGGUUUAGUGGUAAAAUUGGCCGUUGCCAUUGGAUGUCUUGACAUCUAACGACGAUUCGGCCAGCCCCGGGUUCGAUUCCCGGCCGAUGCA